UCCUACGGGGGGCAGCAGUGAGGAAUAUUGGUCAAUGGGCGGGAGCCUGAACCAGCCAAGCCGCGUGAGGGAAGAAGGUACAGCGUAUCGUAAACCUCUUUUGUCAGGGAACAAAGGCGGGGACUAGUCCCCGGAUGAGGGUACCUGAAGAAAAAGCAUCGGCUAACUCCGUGCCAGCAGCCGCGGUAAUACGGAGGAUGCGAGCGUUAUCCGGAUUUAUUGGGUUUAAAGGGUGCGCAGACGGCAGGGCAAGUCUGAUGUGAAAGUCCGGGGCUCAACCCCGGGACUGCAUUGGAAACUGUCCG
rnacentral:rRNA from 1 species